GACGUAGGGCGCGAGCGUUGUCCGGAUUUACUGGGCGUAAAGGGCUCGUAGGCGGCUCGUCGCGUCUGCCGUGACAGGCCUCGGCUUAACCGGGGUUUUCCGGUGGAGACGGGCGGGCUUGAGGCAAUUAGGGGAGGCUGGAAUUCUACGUGUAGCGGUGAAAUGCGCAGAUAUGUGGAGGAACACCGGUGGCGAAGGCGGGUCGCUGGGAUUGUACUGACGCUGAGGAGCGAAAGCGUGGGGAGCGAACAGG
rnacentral:misc_RNA from 1 species